UACGUAGGGUGCGAGCGUUAAUCGGAAUUACUGGGCGUAAAGCGUGCGCAGGCGGUUUGCUAAGACAGGUGUGAAAUCCCCGGGCUUAACCUGGGAACUGCGCUUGUAACUGGCAAGCUAGAGUGUGGCAGAGGGGGGUGGAAUUCCAGGUGUAGCAGUGAAAUGCGUAGAGAUCUGGAGGAACACCGAUGGCGAAGGCAGCCCCCUGGGCUAACACUGACGCUCAUGCACGAAAGCGUGGGGAGCAAACAGG
rnacentral:rRNA from 1 species